CUAUGAUCCUCCUCUCUACCAUUCUCCAGUAGUCUAUGAUCCCCCUCUCUACCGUUCUCCAGUAGUUUAUGGUUCUCCUCUCUACCAUUCUCCAGUAGUCUGUGGUUCUCCUCUCUACCGUUCUCCAGUAGUCUGUGAUCCUCCUCUCUACCAUUCUCCAGUAGUCUGUGAUCCUCCUCUCUACCAUUCUCCAGUAGUCUAUGAUCCUCCUCUCUACCAUUCUCCAGUAGUCUAUGAUCCUCCUCUCUACCAUUCUCCAGUAGUUUAUGGUUCUCCUCUCUACCAUUCUCCAGUAGUCUGUGGUUCUCCUCUCUACCGUUCUCCAGUAGUCUAUGAUCCUCCUCUCUACCGUUCUCCAGUAGUUUAUGGUUCUCCUCUCUACCAUUCUCCAGUAUAGUCUAUGAUCCUCCUCUCUACCGUUCUCCAGUAGUUUAUGGUUCUCCUCUCUACCAUUCUCCAGUAGUCUGUGGUUCUCCUCUCUACCGUUCUCCAGUAGUCUAUGAUCCUCCUCUCUACCGUUCUCCAGUAGUCUAUGAUCCUCCUCUCUACCGUUCUCCAGUAGUCUAUGAUCCUCCUCUCUACUGUUCUCCAGUAGUCUGUGAUCCUCCUCUCUACUGUUCUCCAGUAGUCUGUGAUCCUCCUCUCUACCGUUCUCCAGUAGUCUAUGAUCCUCCUCUAUACCGUUCUCCAGUAGUCUAUGAUCCUCCUCUCUACCAUUCUCCAGUAGUCUGUGAUCCUCCUCUCUACCGUUCUCCAGUAGUCUGUGAUCCUCCUCUCUACCGUUCUCCAGUAGUCUGUGAUCCUCCUCUCUACCGUUCUCCAGUAGUCUAUGAUCCUCCUCUCUACCGUUCUCCAGUAGUCUAUGAUCCUCCUCUCUACCAUUCUCCAGUAGUCUAUGAUCCUCCUCUCUACCAUUCUC
ensembl:lncRNA